UCCCUUGUAGCUCAGUGGGUAAGGAAUCUGCCUGCAAUGCAGGAGACCCAGGUUCGAUCCCUGGGUUGAGAA
rnacentral:tRNA from 1 species